UGUGCUUGAAUAUUAGAAUUUGCAAUCCCUGUCCUCAGUCUGCAGUGCCAGAUUGGAUUUGGAAGUGAGGGUAAUAUCUGGAACUUUAAUGAGGGGAUUAAUUUGACCCAAGCUCCCCAAACUCCACUUGAAGAUGAUGGAGAAGCAGGUGUGCAGCAGCAGCUCUGAUCAACAUAAAAUAUCUUGAACCUGA